GUAACAGGCUUACCCUAACUGAUCAAUCAACCUCGUGACACUGUGCUCUGUAACCUUGUGAUAAUGUACCUUAUGACAUUCUUCCCCUGCCCGCAAUAAACGGCUCCUAACUGUAACUUUCCGGUGCUUACCUCUAACUGAUAAAACUAGCUCCAACCCACCACCCUCCACUGACUUCCUUCGCACUCAGCCCACUCGCACCCGGGUGAAUAAACAGCCUUUGUUGCUCACACUUAGCCUGUUCAAGUUGUCUCUUCAAUUAGAUGCUCGCAUAACAUUUGGUGCCGAAAGCCCGGGAUAGGGGAACUCCUCCGGCAGACCUCUCCUCUAUCCUCCCGGUACCCACGUUCUCCCAUGCAAGAGACUUCCCUCGCCCUCAGGACCUCAGACCAGCUCCGCGAGCACUCCGGCCUCUGUCUAUGGAUAUGCAUAAAAAGACAGGAAUGUAAGGUCCUCUGAGCAGGCGGCGCCAUGGUCAAGCCAUCGUGACCCCUGUGACUCACACGUACACAUCCAGAAGGUCUCCUGGAGCCAGAAAGUCUGGGACGACAGGAAAACCACAAAAGAAGAAAAACGGCUAGUUCCUGUCUUAGCUGAUCAGCCAACCUUGUGACAUUCUAUCAUUGUAACAGGCUGUACCCUAACUGAUCAAUCAACCUCAUGACACUGUGCUCUGUAACCUUAUGAUAAUGUACCUUAUGACAUUCUUCCCCUGCCCUCAAUAAACAGCUCCGAACUAUAACUUUCCACUGCUUACCCCUAAAGUAUAAAACUAGCUCCAACCCCACCACUUCCUUUUCGGACUCAGCCCACCCGCACCCAGUGAAUAAACAACCUUGUUGCUCACACUUAGCCUGUUCAGGGUGUCUCUUCAAUUAGACGCACACAUAACAGACAGAUUAACAAGAAAAACACAUACAGAUUAAUUUAAUAUAAAUUUUUUUUUAUUAUACUUUAAGUUUUAGGGUACAUGUGCACAUUGUGCAGGUUAGUUACAUAUGUAUACAUGUGCCAUGCUGGUGCGCUGCACCCACUAACUCGUCAUCUAGCAUUAGGUAUAUCUCCCAAUGCUAUCCCUCCCCCCUCCCCCCACCCCACCACAGUCCACAGAGGGUGAUAUUCCCCUUCCUGUGUCCAUGUGAUCUCAUUGUUCAAUUCCCACCUAUGAGUGAGAAUAUGUGGUGUUUGGUUUUUUGUUCUUGCGAUAGUUUACUGAGAAUGAUGAUUUCCAAUUUCAUCCAUGUCCCUACAAAGGACAUGAACUCAUCAUUUUUGAUGGCUGCAUAGUAUUCCAUGGUGUAUAUGUGCCAUAUUUUCUUAAUCCAGUCUAUCAUUGUUGGACAUUUGGGUUGGUUCCAAGUCUUUGCUAUUGUGAACAGUGCCGCAAUAAACAUACGUGUGCAUGUGUCUUUAUAGCA
rnacentral:lncRNA from 1 species